rnacentral:rRNA from 1 species
UUACGGCAAGUGUGGGGUUGUAGGACAGUUUUUUAGAAUAAGAAGGAAUAAGAAAGACUUGGGAAGGUCUGCCAAAGAAGGUGAUAGCCCUGUAUUAGUAAAAUUUUUAGACGUAACUGUAUCCUGAGUAGGUGGGGACUGGAGAAAUCCCCAUUGAAACUGCCGGCACCAUCCGGUAAGGCUAAAUACUAACAAGAGACCGAUAGUGAACUAGUACUGUGAAGGAAAGGUGAAAAGUACCCCGAGUAGGGGGGUGAAAAGAUCCUGAAACCAUACACUUACAAGCGGUCGGAGCAGAGCGAUUCUGUGACGGCGUGCCUUUUGCAUAAUGACCCUACGAGUUACUCUUCCUGGCAAGAUUAAGGUUUAUAGGACUGGAGUCGGAGCGAAAGCGAGUCUGAAAAGGGCGUUUAGUCAGGGGGAGUAGACGCGAAACCUUGUGAUCUACCCAUGGUCAGGUUGAAGGUGUGGUAACACACACUGGAGGACCGAACGAGUUUACGUUGAAAAGUAUUUCGAUGAGCUGUGGGUAGGGGUGAAAGGCUAAUCAAACUGGGAAAUAGCUCGUACUCCCCGAAAUGUUUUUAGGAACAGCGUCGAGGUUUAGUUUCAUGCAGGUAAAGCUACCAAUAGGACUAGGGGGAGUCAAAUCCUACCAAAUCCUGAUGAACUCUGAAUGGCAUGAAAUAUACACGGCAGUGAGGGCAGGGGUGCUAAGGUCACUGUCCGAGAGGGAAAGAACCCAGACCAACAGCUAAGGUCCCAAAAUCUAUACUAAGUUGAACAAAGGAGGUCUGAUUGCAGAGACAGCCAGGAUGUUAGCUUGGAAGCAGCUAUUCAUUUAAAGAGUGCGUAACAGCUCACUGGUCGAGCGAGGCGGGCAUCGAUAAUAAACGGGCAUCAAGUAUAGUACCGAAGCUUUGGAUUAUGUACUUUGUACAUACUGGUAGGGGAGCAUUCUCAUUGCAGUGAAGGAUAGUCGAUAAGGCUUACUGGAGCGGUGAGAAAAGCAAAUGUAGGGAUGAGUAACGAUAAUGGGGGCGAGAAACCCCCACGCCGAAAAGUCAAGGUUUCCUCAGCUAUGCUAAUCAACUGAGGGUUAGUCGGGGGCUAAGGGUUUAGCGAAGGCGACAAUCUAAUGCACAUCAGGUUAAUAUUCCUGAACUUAUUAUUAGGGAAACACAAUGACGGAGAUUCGUGGUUGGCAGGUACUGACGGAAUAGUGCCUUUGAGAAGAAGCCGCAAGGCAGAAACGAGUCAGCGAAGAGACUUCCAAGAAAAGUUGUGAAUCUAUACUUAUUAGUAACCCGUACCGUAAACCGACACAGGUGACUGGGAAGAAUAUUCUAAGGCGCUCGAGUGAAUCACGGCUAAGGAACUCGGCAAAUUAACCCUGUAACUUCGGGAUAAAGGGAGCCUCCUCGCAAGAGAGGCCGCAGAGAAUUGGUCCAGGCGACUGUUUAACAAAAACACAUGGCUUUGCAAAAACGAAAGUUGACGUAUAAGGCCUGACACCUGCCCGGUGCUGGAAGGUUAAGAGGGGAUGUUAGCGCAAGCGAAGCAUUGAAUCGAAGCCCCAGUAAACGGCGGCCGUAACUAUAACGGUCCUAAGGUAGCGAAAUUCCUUGUCGGGUAAGUUCCGAC